GGGUCAUUCUUGUAUUAUUCAAAGACCCGGCUCUAACCUAACCCUCGAAGUCUCUCCAUUGCCGCCGCUGCGAAGACUCACUCUCCAAAUCUCCAGGCGAUUGUCAACCGUACUUCCGACCGAAAAAACACCGCAAUGCUCGUCGAGAUCUCUGCCCGAUUUCCCGUUAAGAGCAUUACCCUCCAGCUGCAACGAUUUUUUGGGGCGACCUCUGAAGUACGUUCGGCCGCCACAUAACCAGUAACACCAUCCUUACACCCCCGCCGUCGGCAAUAGAUGACCAGUGAACUACCUUCUUCAUGUUAGGAUACUUCGAUGGCGGGCAAGAAUAGGGGAAUUUGCCAUGGUUGUAGAAUGCUGGGACAUAUGAUGUCGGAAUGCCCCAAAAAGAAAAAAUGCCCCGAUUGUGAUGCACGGUUCGUCAAGUGGAUGGAGGUGGAAAAGAACAGUGAACAUAAAGGGCUAUUGUUUCAUUGUUGUACCCGCGACUGUGGGUUCUUCAAAUGGUGUAAAAAUAAGCCCGGUGAAAAAUGUACAUUUCAUGACGAUGGAGACUCAAGUGGUAGUACAAACAAAGAUGAGCACGUGGACGAUUUGUCGCAUAUGUUAAAAUCACUUGUGAAGCUCACGGAUGAGAAAGACUUGGAAAUUUCGUUGAAUAUAAAUAUGCGCAAGGGGAAACGAGUUUCGGAAGAUUUCACAUGAAAUCCGAUGUUUUCGGAAUGUGAAACUUAAGUGUUUGUAUAAGUAUGUAGUACGGCAUGUGUUUAUGUAGGGUAAUGUAGUAUGUUAAGCUUGAGUUUGUAGUAGUUUAGGGUAUGCGGCAAUGUCAUGUUAUCUGAACGUUGUAACGUCAAAUUAUGGCUGUGGCAAUGUAAUCAAGUUCUUUAUUCCAA